CUCUUAUCCCGAGCUGGUGGAGGGACAGGCCCAAUGAAACCCAGCAACCUGCAGACGUGAAAAAACAGCAUUUAGAAUGCUGCUAUUUCCGGGCAAAGGUGCUAACCUGACGCAAGGGAACUGCCCUUGAACGAUAAGAG
rnacentral:ncRNA from 2 species